rnacentral:siRNA from 1 species
CAACAAGCUGAAGGACGUACAAUA